GAAGCCUCUACUACACAUACACUAAGAAUGAACUUUUCAAUGAGCACACAUGCAGCAGGAUUCAUGUCCAAAUUCAACAUGCUGAGCACCCAGGGGUCCUGCUGAGCCCCUCUAAGGAACUCCUCCAUGCUAAUAUGACCUGUGGAACAAAAAUAGUCAAGCAGGAUUCAUGUCCAACUUCAACAUGCUGAGCACCCAGGGGUCCUGCUGAGCCCCUCUGAGGAACUCCUCCAUGCUAAUCUGACCUGUGGAACGAAAAAAAAGUCAAAGUAGGAUUAAUAUUCUCUGCAGCAUUAACGUA